rnacentral:rRNA from 1 species
CGGGUGCGUAACGCGUAUAGAACCUACCUUUUACAGAGGAAUAGCCUUUAGAAAUGAAGAUUAAUGCCUCAUAGUAUUGAGUAUUCGCAUGAAUAUUUAAUUAAAGAUUUAUCGGUAAAAGAUGGCUAUGCGUCCUAUUAGUUAGUUGGUAAGGUAACGGCUUACCAAGACAGCGAUAGGUAGGGGUCCUGAGAGGGAGAUCCCCCACACUGGUACUGAGACACGGACCAGACUCCUACGGGAGGCAGCAGUGAGGAAUAUUGGACAAUGGAGGAGACUCUGAUCCAGCCAUGCCGCGUGUAGGAAGAAUGCCCUAUGGGUUGUAAACUACUUUUAUACAGGAAGAAACACUGGUAUGUAUACCAGC